UGGGGAAUCUUGCGCAAUGGGCGAAAGCCUGACGCAGCGACGCCGCGUGAGUGAUGAAGGCCUUCGGGUUGUAAAGCUCUGUGGAGGGGGACGAAUAAGGGUUGGUUAAUAUCCAGCCCGAUGACGGUACCCCUUUAGCAAGCACCGGCUAACUCUGUUCCAGCAGCCGCCGUAAGACAGAGGGUGCAAACGUUGUUCGGAAUUACUGGGCGUAAAGCGCGUGUAGGCUGCUUGGAAAGUCGGAUGUGAAAGCCCUGGGCUCAACCUAGGAAGUGCAUUCGAAACUUCUGAGCUGGAGUGCUGGAGAGGAAGGCGGAAUUCUCGGUGUAGAGGUGAAAUUCGUAGAUAUCGAGAGGAACACCGGUGGCGAAGGCGGCCUUCUGGACAGUAACUGACGCUGAGACGCGAAAGCGUGGGGAGCAAAC
rnacentral:rRNA from 1 species